GGCCGCGUCGUCCUUCCCGCAAACGUUGCCGUGGGCCGUGGCUUCGUCCUCCCGCCUCCCAUCUCUCUCUCUCCCAUCGUCACGCAACCCUAGCACCGAGCAGCCCUCCGCCGCCAGUCUCGCCUCCUUGCCCAAGUCGCCUCCCGCUGGAAAAGUUCCCGCAGUCUCACCUCCUCGUCGCCGGACUCCCGACCACCGAGCGAAGCGCCGCGUCUAUACUCUCUCCCCAAGAAUCCAGCCACCUCUCCUCUCGGCCUCUCCAGCAUCCACACCUUGGCGACGGCCCUAUCGGCCUCUCCCCCACAUCCGGGGCCCUCACACCUCCUCCUCCAACGCCUCUGGUCUUCACCGUCUCUACCGCAUGGAUCCGGCGCCAUCGCCUCCCCCUUGACCGUCAGUAAUCCCCCUGCUUGUCCCUGUUCACCACCGCCCGACGCCCUCCAUAGAUCGUGACCAAGAGGAGCAGCACAUACCCUCAAAAAAAGAGGAGCAGCACGGAGUCAAUCUGGGCAUGGAGGCCCAGAUCCGACCUCCCCCCUCCUCCUUGCCCCUCUCUCUAAUUCAUUCUCUCAUAUUGCAAAUCAAUUUCGUUCGCGUUUUAGCAAAUCUGUAGCAAUCAGAUUAUUUACCAUGUAAUCCAUUUUUCCGUAGUGAAUUUUAGGUCACUGAUGCACGAAUCGAAGCAUGGUUUCAGUGAAUUUUGGGUCACUGGAUGGGCACUCGUCAAGGCCACAACCGCCGGCGAGCCUGUCGUCGCGGACUCGACGGACUGCUUGGCAGGAUCGGCUCCGGGUUCAGGUAGGUCGGCUUCUUGGCCUUCAUCUUCGCGUGGGAGAAGCUCAAUCCUCAAGCCCCCAUACGCAGUUGUGUGAACAAGGUGAUUUCUAAUCGACUGCACUUGUGCGGUUUAUUCUCAGAGCACAUGUACUACUACUUAGCGGUGAGGUUUCAAUGUUGAUUCUUUUGGGGACAAUCACAAUUAUUGCUCUCUUUCACUAACAAAGGUGAGCACUUCUCACCUAUAUGCACAUACGUUCGUUGAUUCAGCUAAAGCAGAUACUAGAUUGGUUGUGAAUCGUUUUUGGUAUAAUACUCACAGCUGGGUGAAUACCUAGAAGGUUGUUGUUUUCAUUGACAUUUCCGUCAAUAAAUUUAAUUGUACUACAUGAUAUGAAUUGAUGGUAAGAAGUUAAAUAGUUUAUCUUACCAGUAACUUUUACUUUAAUUCAAAUGUGCAGAUAUAUUUCAUCUGAUGCUUUCAUAAAUUCAAUUAUUGUUUGUGGGAUUCUGGGUGCAGAACAACAUGGUGCUCAUCAUAAUCGAUGCCUGUUGUUUUAUUCCUUUGCUGCAGACCAAAGUUUGCUUCCUUUUAAUCAAAGAUGCUAAGCAAUUUGAACUAAUUUAUGCAAUAUCUAGCUGACAAACCUGAGGUCGUAAAAAUGCUACUUUCAUUUUGGUUAAAUACAUCUUGUAACAAACCUAUGAGAAAACAAUUGGUAGUUCUUUAACUUCUAUUUUUUUUUGGAAAUGCUCUUGUUACAUAUUAAGCUGCCAACCCUGAAGGUUGAUUGAAAAUAUUCUGUUGUUAUUUUACGACCAUACUAUAGUUUGAUUGCUUGCUAUAAGAAAUAACCUUGUUACAUACUUCAGUUUUUGUAUUUCAGAAGAUGAACUGUUCUUUCAUAUCAUGAUCAUAUAGGAGGAUUAUAUUGAUUAGCUCAAUUUUUAUUAUUUUCCAUGAUUUUAAGACUGGUCAUCGCAUUUUGUCAUGAUCAUCCAAUAGUUGUCUCACAUGCGAGUAUAAAAAUAUCUAGGUUAUCAUUUAGCACAUACGUUAUGAUCUGACUGAUGGCAUAAACUUUAGGACACCUGUGAUAUUGCAUUGGCAGAUACAAACGUGAUAAACCUGGGUAUUGAAAAAGAGAGAUACAGUGCUAUUUACCUAAGUUAUUUAUUGAUCUCAAUCAAGGUUCAGAAUUUUAUUAAUUGAUAGACGCAGAAAGAAAGGGAGGCAAAGUGCUUUUUACAAGUUAUUUCUCGAGUUCUGUUCAAUUUUAAGCAAGCAUAGCGACGAUUGGGACAGGCUCCUAAUUGAAAAUGAGACCGAUGGUUUUACCAUGUUGUGUAGUUUGUAGACGCACUACAGUGAUUUGCAUGUUCAAAUAUAUGCAUGUUCAAAUAUAUGUAUUUGCUCUCCAACUUUUAUGGUAUAGUGAACCAUUGUGACUGCGUGACCUGAGCUUCUUCCUUCAUGUUAGCUUAGUUAAGCUGUUGGUUUAAGCUUUAUAUAACUAUGAACUGUAAGUAUACAUUUUGGCAGUAGUUCGUUAAAACAAUAAUUUGACCAACGUUUUGGCGUGAUACAUGGAGUAAAUUUUGCAAUGAUUCAGAUUCCCAUCUUAUUACAGAUAUCCCAGAACCACAAAUAAUCUUUAUCUUUUGUAUUGCAACCAAAUUUUUGUGAUCUUCCGUUUGCACAGGUAUCAUAUGCACCGAAGGAGUUACAACCUUCUCUCUGUAGACAACUUGUAGGCACGCCCUCUGCACUCUGCAGCUUCCCGCUCCAUAAAAGAGGCCGCUUCCAUUGAAUAUGUAUGCUUGCGUUAUGAAAGCCUUAGUGUGCUGAUCUAUGACAAGCUUAUCAGCAGAUUGAAUCUUGUCCUGGUCAUAUGGGUGUCAGUCUCCUGCAGCUGAAUGUAUGUUGCUUUCAUAAAUUUGUGUCUCCUUGGAGCCUGAUUAGAUCAUUACUUCUUAAUUUCCCUUAGGAUCAACCAAGUUAUUUAUCUCCUAUCAGUGUAUAAGUAGGCAUUCACCUGCAAAAGAAACUACUGGGUUCAGGUUAUAGCAUUACAGAAUAGGAUGUGAACUACAUAAGUGGCGAGAAUAGGAAUACCUCAAAAGCGACUUUCUUCUUAGUAUUUCACAUCCUAUAAUAAGAUAAGAUACAGAAAGUGAUUUUCAUAAAGUAAACUACAGAAUUCUUUGGGUUUCUCUAAAGCAUAUGAUGAAUUGCCUUUCUUCUUAGUAUUUCACAUCCUAUAAUAAGAUAAGAUACAGAAAGAGAUUUUCAUAAAUUAAACUACAGAAUUCUUUGGGUUGCUCUAAAGCAUAUGAUGAAUUGAGUACCUUUUCAUGAAUGUCCAGGAAUUUUUAUUGUUCAAAGGAGGCCCUUAAUCAAAAAACUAAUUUAUUCUUUUUCCAAGAUGUGUUGCGAUGACUGCGAGGACACUUGGCACCGUGACGCAAGAUCCAGAUCAUGCACCACCUCUCCGAGCAUCCACGCCGCUAUGAGGAUGCACUCUUAAUGCAUAUUUUCAUGGAGAUCUGAGGCGGUGGCUUGCUCUUCGACCUCAACGUGACCAAGGAGCACUACACCAAGUGUGAUGCCGCGAAGCUCAUCAAGACAAUCAUUUGGCUGUGGAGAGAUGCCACUUGCUUGUCGUCAUGCGCAUGGACCUCAAGCAGGAAACUUCUUGUUUGCUGGCACCGCCAAGGACAUGCCACUGAUUUUGGGCUAUCCAUGUUCUAGAAGCCUGAGCUUCUUGUGUGCCCUCCAAGUUUACUUUGGCAUGUUGAUCUUCCUGGGGUCCAUGGUGUACGACCCGCAAGAGAUCAUUUAGAGGGCGCACCACGACGACAUGGACUACAUCAAGCACGCGCUCACCCUCUUCACUGAUUUCAUCGCCGUCCUUGUCAGGAUCCUCAUCAUCAUGCUCAAGAACGCAGGUGACAAGUCAAAAGAAGGCGGGGAGAAGGAGGGGAGGAGGAGGAGGUCUUGAACAUUUCAUCUGCACAUAGUAGAUACUACUGCUACUACCACCAUCACUAAUGGUACCACCACACUACGUAAGAAGGCCGGUGAAGUAACUUGUGUGUGAGGAGGAGGAGGAGGUCUUGAACAUUUCCUCUGCACAUAGUAGAUACUACUGCUACUACCACCAUCCCUACUGGUACCACCUCUGCUACGUAAAAAAGCUGGUGCAGUAACUUGUGUGUGUUCACUCUGGUAAUUCGCGCGUGUGAAUCUGAUGCGACUUUGAAGCUUUUACUCACAGGGUUUUCAUUCCGGAUUUCCUGUACUCUUGCCGUGCUUCAUGAAUUGGUUGAAUCGUGGAAGCAUUCGUAAGUGAAAUGGUUUCUGUUGUAUGAUUGCUCGUGUGUUUGUGGUUUGAACUUUGCACUGUUGAUUCAUUUUUGCGUUGAAUGCAUCUUUGUGUUGUUUAAAUUUUAUUGGAUGUCCCUGAAGGUUCUGCCAAAUGCAUCUGAUGCAUGUGCUGCAGCCUUGUGUUGAUGAGCUAUGUUAUUGUUGUGGUUGGCUCGCUGGGUCGU